rnacentral:rRNA from 1 species
UACGUAGGGGGCGAGCGUUGUCCGGAAUUAUUGGGCGUAAAGAGCGUGUAGGCGGCCAGGUAGGUCGGUUGUGAAAACUGGAGGCUCAACCUUCAGAGGUCGACCGAAACCAUCUGGCUAGAGUCCGGGAGAGGAGAGUGGAAUUCCUGGUGUAGCGGUGAAAUGCGCAGAUAUCAGGAGGAACACCAAUAGCGAAGGCAGCUCGCUGGGACGGUAUUGACGCUGAGGCGCGAAAGCGUGGGGAGCAAACAGG